rnacentral:rRNA from 1 species
GAUGAACGCUGGCGGCGUGCCUAAUACAUGCAAGUCGAGCGAACAGACGAGGAGCUUUCUCCUUUGACGUUAGCGGCGGACGGGUGAGUAACACGUGGGUAACCUACCUAUAAGACUGGGAUAACUUCGUGAAACCGGAGCUAAUACCGGAUAAUAUUUCGAACCGCAUGGUUCGAUAGUGAAAGAUGGCUUUGCUAUCACUUAUAGAUGGACCUGCGCCGGAUGAGCUAGUUGGUAAGGUAACGGCUUACCAAGGCAACGAUACGUAGCCGACCUGAGAGGGGGAUCGGCCACACUGGAACUGAGACACGGUCCAGACUCCUACGGGAGGCAGCAGUAGGGAAUCUUCCGCAAGGGGCGAAAGCCUGACGGAGCAACGCCGCGUGAGUGAUGAAGGUCUUCGGAUCGUAAAACUCUGUUAUUAGGGAAGAACAAACGUGUAAGUAACUGUGCACGUCUUGACGGUACCUAAUCAGAAAGCCACGGCUAACUACGUG